AUGAAUUUGGUCUCUGAACCAAUACAUCUGUGUGCAAUCACUGUUACGUCCCUGGUGGUGAAGGGCGGAUUCGGAGCUUGGUUCCGAGUCCCUUGGAUCCACCAACCCUUUGCAGGCUCGGCAUUCGUGCCGGGCUCUGUUGAUGAACAUAAUGUUAAUUUUAUCUGUCUGAUUCUUUCACAUCUGUGAAUCAUAAAA
rnacentral:misc_RNA from 1 species